GGGCCGGGGGCGGGGGCGGCACGGACGAGGGGUGGGGCGGGCCGGCGUGGUCCGUCCCCGUCCAACCGGCUGCCGGCCGUCAGACCGCGCGGAGGGCCCGCGGCUGUAGCCUCUGAGCAGGCCACCGUGCCCCGGCUGGCGGCGAGCAGUCGGGCCACCCUGCCGCGGAUCAGCCCUAGUACGGAGACCGCCCGCCAGGUGGCUCCCCAGCCCUGGUCCCGACAUCAGAACAAACGGGAGUCGAGGCCAGGUAGACAGGAUCAGAAGACUGUGACGGCGGACCGGUCGACCAAGCCCCAGCCGCCCGGCCAGGUCUGGGACUCAGUUUCGCGUGAUGCGGGCCGCCGCGAGAGCAGCUCACACAGAUAGCAGUGACCCGGCCAGGCGCGAUGGCGACCUGGCUGAACGGCUUUGUUAGUGUCUGUGGCGUCUGUCGUCAGCGGAAACACGAGCUCCCCGGAGUCUACGGUGGCUCCCACAUUGGUGUCCGGUAUGCCUCCGGGCAAUUUCGCCUGCCGCGCCGAUGAUUGUCAAGAGUGCUCUAAGGAUUGUGCGCUGUUGUACGCCAAUGGGUGCUGAGGCAGUCAUGCCCGUAUUUGGGUAUACGGGCAUUGUACCGUUCCGUCCAAUUUCCGUCCAGUUUCCGUCCACCAGCCAACCAGUCCCCAAUACAGGGAGUAUGAGUCAUUAUAGGUGGCGCUCAGGGCGACUGAGUCUGUUAUAGGUGGCGCUAGCGUCGGCUCCCACGGAGUCUGAUCUCAUUGGCCUGUCCGAUAGCGGGAAGGUGUAAACACUUGAUAGGACGGGGAGCGUUACGAGCUCUUGGUAACCAAAGCUGCUUUACGAGAAGAAACGAAGGAAUGGUACAAAGUUAAAGUCGCAACCGUUUUUGAGGCAUAU